GAUGGCUCUGUGGGCGGGGGUGAAAAAAAAAAGCAGACAAACGGCAAACAGAAGCUUCAGUGUCGGUUACACGUGUUGGCUUAAGGCUCUUCAAUAAUCUUUUUCUGUUGAUUAAACCACAGAAACUAAAGGCCACACUUGUGGGUUUUUUUUACCUCCUCACCCACGUUAACUGACGUGGCGGAGGGAAACAACAUCCGAGAACACGGCGGCAGGUACGAGCUACUUUAGCUCUAUCAGGAGGACAUGCUCUUCAAUAAAGUGCCACGUAUAACUCAACUCCCACUGAAGAAGCGUCGGACCUGGGCCCCAGAAUUCAGAUCCCGUCAGGAGUGGCUCUGUUGUGGAGAAGACAGUGAAGAUGGUGUGAUUCAGGCCUGCACGGAGUUUCUCACUCCCUCAGCCUGUUGCUGCUCUUGGUGCCGCCGCUGCUGGAGCCUCAUAGACGGGGUUGUCGGAAGAGGUGGAGCUAAAGGCUUCAGAAGCGCGGGCUUGGUCUCAAUACGUGAGGCGCUCAAUCUCAUCAGAAUGACAUAUUAACCUUUAAUGAUCGUCGACGUUUCCCUCCUUGUCGUUACCGGGUUUUGUUAUAAAUAAUGUUUCCUUCGCUCAUUAAAGGCUAUAGUUUUACUUACUGUAAUUAGCUCUUAGAGAAGUGUACGUUCAAUUAAAAUAUCUUACUAGAAAUUGUUACAAUACCACUGAAUAAUGUAUGUGUUUAUUAAUUAAAAGCUUCCAAAAUGUAUAGUUUUGUGACUAACGUUGUUGGAAUCGAACCACAGAACUUAAAGUGUGCGUUUAAGGUUCGGUGAUUAAUUUUGGUAAAAAAA